AUCAGCUACAUCGCCAUGGGCACGAACAUGUCGUAACACACAUCGGAAAAAUUGUGUCAAAUAUCAAUGGAAUAGUCGUUCCCUCUCUUUGUACACCAUUAUCUCGCUACCACAACUCAAGAAAAAAAUACUGACUAUUUAUUGGUCCAUGUUGAGAUUAUAGUUGUCUCAGACGAUCCUGAGCAAACGCCGAAGUUCUUUGAGUGGAAAUCUUUGUCAGUAAUCAUCAAGAAGGACAAUGGCAGCAAUUACACAAAUCCAAUCCUUCCUAUCAGAUCUCAAUUAGUCACCGUCAGAAUCGAAUUUAAGAUUUAGACGGCGCUCAACCUUUCAGUUGCGAACGAUGCGUCAUUUUCGGUGGGAGUACGUUUGUGUACUAGGGCUGAUGCGCUUUGCGUGGAUUAUGUCUGAUCCCGGCAAAAAUAAAGAUUGGAGCAAUUGUUCUGUCAGCUGCGGCGGCGGAAUCCAGACCCGAUGCAGGAACGGCAAGAGUCCUUGUCAAGCGAAGCAUCUAAUCACCAGGAGCUGUAAUGGUUUUCCCUGCGUAACACAGGGAUAUGCUUUGUCAUCUCAAUUAGGUCCGACCCUUUACGGCAUUUGGACCGUCUAAACACAGCACUACCCCAGCGUUAAACAAAUCACUAAGCGUGAAAAAUAAUACUAAGUCUUUCUAUGUAAUGCAACAUGUAACGCUUUUCACAUCUCAAGGCUCUUCUCCUAUCGCAUCCAUUAGUUCAGGUGCGUGCUUUUCGCCUAUGUUAAUGUCUUUUACAUCUUCAAGCAUAUCUGCGAUGUUAAAAAAACACGAAACAUUUAAUAACCACGUGGGUGGUCUUUAAAGCACUAGCUACUUCUAUAACGGUAGAUUCAUCUUCCCUAGUAGCGCCUUCUUCAGUAAACUUAAAAGUUCUCUCAUCUGGUAGAUCACAUGCCUCGAUUGUAGGCUCUUCGUUUAAUAACACGGCAUUUGGUCGCAUCUGUCGUAACAAGUACGAUAACAAAGCCCGCGAAAACAUUAUCGCGUAAUAAUCGAUCUAAUAAAUAAAUCAGUGCAGAAAUAACGUCAUCCAAGACACUAUCGGAUACCUAAUCAUCUAAUAAACAAAUCAAUAACAGUGGGGGAGGUAAUACCAAGUAAUAGUUUGAAAAUAUUGCAUAUUGCGAAACUUAACAACAACUGACGUAAACUAUAUAUUUAAAACGCUUCAUUAAUACACACUCUUAAAAGACAAUCGUUAGAGCGGGAGGGUCUUAACCACAGACGUCACCGCAUAAGAACACUGGCUUUGCAACCAUCUCGAAUGACAUCAUGUCUAUGGUUACGCUGGUUUUGUUGCUUCAUCGAAUGACGUCACUUACAUAACAUCUCACUUCCAUGUCGAAUGUCGUCAUCUUGUCACUCCCAUGGCUCUUUAGCCGUAUGGAAUGAGGUCAAAUCCAUAGCAACCGACUUGCAGCCAUGUGGUAUGACGUCAAAUCCAUAUAGCAACUGAUUUCCAUUUCAAAUAACGUUACAUUCAUAGAGCAAGCAACUUCCAUAUUGAAUACCGUCACGUCCAUGACAACACAAGCAAAAGAAA